rnacentral:rRNA from 1 species
CCUACGGGAGGCAGCAGUAGGGAAUUUUCGUCAAUGGGCGCAAGCCUGAACGAGCGAUGCCGCGUGAGUGAAGAAGGCCUUCGGGUCGGAAAGCUCUGUUGCGGGGGAAAAAAGGCAGAAUCAGGAAAUGGGUGCUGACUGAUGGUGCCCCGCCAGAAAGUCACGGCUAACUACGUGCCAGCAGCCGCGGUAAUACGGAGGUGGCGAGCGUUAUCCGGAAUGAUUGGGCGGAAAGGGUGCGCAGGCGGUCCUGCAAGUCUGGAGUGAAACGCAUGAGCUCAACUCAUGCAUGGCUUUGGAAACUGGAGGACUUGAGAGCAGGAGAGGGCGGUGGAACUCCAUGUGUAGCGGUAAAAUGCGUAGAUAUAUGGAAGAACACCAGUGGCGAAGGCGGCCGCCUGGCCUGUUGCUGACGCUGAGGCACGAAAGCGUGGGGAGCAAAUAGGAUUAGAUACCCUUGUAGUC